GGCGGCCGCCAUGUUUCCUGAACACAAAAUGGCGACACGUGGUUAGCAUUCGUCGCCAACGAGAAAUUGGGGUCGGCCCGAAAGCUCUAGAAUGCACCCCUCUUCCUCCCCGGGGCCUUCCACCUCCGCGAGUUUUAUGACUUAAAAAAGCCCACAGGCUGGUCUGAAGAGGAAGACAAACAUAAAGAUGAAGUGCUUAAUUCAAGGUCACACAAUGUCGGGGAUGGACCUCCAGAUUUCCUUACUGACCUGCAUUAUCUUGUGGAUACCUGAGUGAAUUCCACACCACCCAUUUUAUAGAUGAAACCACUGAGACAUGGAGCAAUUGACUGAGUAGUCACUGCCCCACCCCUGCCUGGAGCCUCACACAUGACUCGCCUCCUCUCAGUGACCACAGGUUGGUUGAGGGGUUUAACAAGGCUAAGAAGGUGAGACGUGGUCUUGUAACACAGUGGUUAAGAAUGUGACUUUGGAGCCAGCCUGCUAGGGGCUGAAUUCUGACUCAGCCAUUUACUAACUGUGUGACCUUAGGUCACAGAAUUUUCCACACUCCUUGACAGAGGUGCUUAACCCUUAUCCAUCAGCAUUCUCAGACAGCACCUCCGGUUAGGGACAGUAUCUGACCGUCCGACAUCCCUGCAGCCCCCAUGUGUCACACAGACUCAGCCUCAGGUAGAUGGUUUCCGUAGAUGGUGGCUUUCUUUGGACCCUUGACAUCAACCAGUUACUAUUUGCUCCUGCAACCACCGCUGUACUUUCUGUCUCUAUGAACUUGACUACUCUAGACACCUCAUGGGACCAGAUGUGCAGAGGUAAUGAAUACCAGGGAAUCAGGAAACCACUGGAUCAGUUCUUUGAGCCACAGAACAACACUCAUCCCAGCAGCUGGGAAGCUAUCUGCAAAAGUCCAUCUGCAGAAAGGGCUUCCUGGUCUUGCGUGUGGCUGGGCCAUUUCUCUGGAUGCAGGUUUUUCAUUAUACAGUCUUCUCAAAGAACCACCUGCUCUCAACACCUUCUCGGUGACUCCAUUUCCCCUCCUCU
rnacentral:lncRNA from 10 species